UACAGAGGGUGCGAGCGUUAAUCGGAAUUACUGGGCGUAAAGCGUGCGUAGACGGUUAUUUAAGUCGGGUGUGAAAGCCCCGGGCUCAACCUGGGAAUUGCAUUCGAGACUGAAUAGCUAGGGUACGGUAGAGGGAAGUGGAAUUUCCGGUGUAGCGGUGAAAUGCGUAGAUAUCGGAAGGAACAUCAGUGGCGAAAGCGGCUUCCUGGACCAGAACUGACGAUCAGGCUCGAAAGCGUGGGGAGCAAACAGG
rnacentral:rRNA from 1 species